AUGUAGAACCAGGAGAGGAUUUAUCAUCGAAGAUUAUUGAGUUUUGUCUUAAGAAGCUGCACUCUAUAUCAUCAUCAUCAUCUGUUUGUGUGAUAUUAUCGGCAGUGGGAGCCGUUUGUCGUGCUACGGUUCGGAGGAAUCCCACCUCCCAUCCCAAUGGCUUUGAAACCUUUGAGGGGUGGCAUGAAAUCAUGCGUCUGGGUGGAAGCUAUGACAAGUCUUCGGCCCAAGUAGGCGGCGAACGCUCCAUUGCUGGGGGACUCAAUAUCACGUUGGCUAAAGAAGACGGGAGACUCAUAGCCGGCCCUGUGGGGGGACCUUUAAUAGCUGCAUCAAACAUUCAGGUUGU